AACCUAGCACACCUGCGGUGUGUACCUGCGGAGGGAUCAUUACCGAGUUUACAACUCCCAAACCCCUGUGAACAUACCUAUAUGUUGCCUCGGCGGAUCAGCCCGCGCCCCGUAAAACGGGACGGCCCGCCGCAGGAUCCACAAACUCUGUUUUUAUUGUAACUUCUGAGUAACAAAACAAAUAAAUCAAAACUUUUAACAACGGAUCU
rnacentral:misc_RNA from 1 species